AAAGCGUGCGCAGGCGGUUAUAUAAGACAGAUGUGAAAUCACCGGGCUCAACCUGGGAACUGCAUUUGUGACUGUAUAGCUGGAGUGCGGCAGAGGGGGAUGGAAUUCCGCGUGUAGCAGUGAAAUGCGUAGAUAUGCGGAGGAACACCGAUGGCGAAGGCAAUCCCCUGGGCCUGCACUGACGCUCAUGCACGAAAGCGUGGGGAGCAAACAGGAUUAGAUACCCGGGU
rnacentral:rRNA from 1 species